rnacentral:rRNA from 1 species
GACGAACGCUGGCGGCGUGCCUAAUACAUGCAAGUAGAACGCACAGUUUAUACCGUAGCUUGCUACACCAUACACUGUGAGUUGCGAACGGGUGAGUAACGCGUAGGUAACCUGCCUGGUAGCGGGGGAUAACUAUUGGAAACGAUAGCUAAUACCGCAUAAUAUUGAUUAUUGCAUGAUAAUUGAUUGAAAGAUGCUAUUGCAUCACUACCAGAUGGACCUGCGUUGUAUUAGCUAGUAGGUGAGGUAACGGCUCACCUAGGCGACGAUACAUAGCCGACCUGAGAGGGUGAUCGGCCACACUGGGACUGAGACACGGCCCAGACGCCUACGGGAGGCAGCAGUAGGGAAUCUUCGGCAAUGGACGAAAGUCUGACCGAGCAACGCCGCGUGAGUGAAGAAGGGUUUCGGAUCGUAAAGCUCGGUUGUAAGAGAAGAACGGGUGUGAGAGUGGAAAGUUCACACUGUGACGGUAUCUUACCAGAAAGGGACGGCUAACUACGUG